UACGUAGGGUGCAAGCGUUAAUCGGAAUUACUGGGCGUAAAGCGUGCGCAGGCGGUUAUGUAAGACAGAUGUGAAAUGCCCGGGCUUAACCUGGGAACUGCAUUUGUGACUGCAUGGCUAGAGUUUGGCAGAGGGGGGUAGAAUUCCACGUGUAGCAGUGAAAUGCGCAGAUAUCAGGAGGAACACCGGUGGCGAAGGCAGCCAUCUGGACCGACACUGACGCUGAGGCGCGAAAGCGUGGGGAGCAAACAGG
rnacentral:rRNA from 1 species